rnacentral:rRNA from 1 species
CCUACGGGCGGCAGCAGUGGGGAAUAUUGCACAAUGGGGGAAACCCUGAUGCAGCGACGCCGCGUGAGUGAAGAAGUCAUUCGUUAUGUAAAGCUCUAUCAGCAGGGAAGAAAAUGACGGUACCUGAGUCAGAAGCCCCGGCUAACUACGUGCCAGCAGCCGCGGUAAUACGUAGGGGGCAAGCGUUAUCCGGAUUUACUGGGUGUAAAGGGAGCGUAGACGGCAGUGCAAGUCUGGAGUGAAAGGCGGGGGCUCAACCCCCGGACUGCUCUGGAAACUGUACGGCUGGAGUGCAGGAGAGGUAAGUGGAAUUCCUAGUGUAGCGGUGAAAUGCGUAGAUAUUAGGAGGAACACCAGUGGCGAAGGCGGCUUACUGGACUGUAACUGACGUUGAGGCUCGAAAGCGUGGGGAGCAAACAGGAUUAGAUACCCGAGUAGUC